GUUAGGAAUAUUGGACAAUGGGCGAAAGCCUGAUCCAGCCAUGCCGCGUGAACGAUGAAGGCCUUCGGGUUGUAAAGUUCUUUAGCCGAUGAUUAUAAUGACUGUAGUCGGAAAAUAAGCCCCGGCUAACUUCGUGCCAGCAGCCGCGGUAAUACGAAGGGGGCGAGCGUUAUUCGGAAUCACUGGGCGUAAAGCGUGCGUAGGCGGUUUUGUAAGUUAGGAGUGAAAGCCCAGGGCUCAACCUUGGAAUUGCUCUUAAAACUGCAAGGCUCGAAUCUCGGAGAGGAUAGCGGAAUUUCCAGUGUAGCAGUGAAAUGCGUAGAUAUUGGAAGGAACACCAGUGGCGUAAGCGGCUAUCUGGACGAGUAUUGACGCUGAGGCACGAAAGCGUGGGGAUCAAACAGGAUUAGAUACCCCUGUAGUCC
rnacentral:rRNA from 1 species